rnacentral:rRNA from 1 species
UGUGUAGGUGGCCUGUUAAGUUCCGUGUGAAAUCUCCCGGCUCAACCGGGAGGGUGCGCGGAAAACUGGCGGGCUAGAGUACGGGAUGGGAGAGUAGAAUUCCUGGUGUAGCGGUGAAAUGCGUAGAUAUCAGGAGGAAUACCGGUGGUGUAGACGGCUCUCUGGACCGUAACUGACACUGAGACACGAAAGCGUGGGUAGCAAAACA